rnacentral:misc_RNA from 1 species
UUUUACUGCUUUGCUAAAAAACCCCGGCAGUUUUGAUUAACAAUGGUUUUCAUUUAAGAUGUAAAAUGCAAUUGUUCAGAAUACUUCCUCACAUGUUGUCUAUGAGUGCUACAGUACUAGAUGUAUAAUCAUGUAUAAUCAUUCUCAAAGAGAAUAAUGAGGUGAUGUACGAUAUGAACUUAUAAAUUAUGACACGGGUACAUUGUUAAGUUCCAAUGUAUAAGGUUUAUGUUGUUACAUUAAUCUUGUGUGACUUACAGUUUGAAAAACUUAUUCCAAUAAUAGCUCAUAUUUAUAAAAUCUUAAAGAAAAGUUUAUGAACUGUUUUUUUGAGAAUUUGUUUUAAAGUGUGACUGGUUUCAAAGUAUUCCUCGGACACAUAGCAAUACAUUGAUUAUUUUUUUUAUUUGUUGAUCUUGAUAUUUUAUUUUACAUGCAUGUAUGCAGAUUAAAGCAAUAAUAAAAC